AAAUGUUCAUUACCAAAUGUCGUUAGCUCAAUUGGUAAAUACUCUAGGCAAAUUUUAGAGGUCGCCGGUUCGAGUGACGCUUGAGACGAAACUAAUAUUACAUGCUGCGGUUUUUGGUUUGGGGGAUUACGGACUUCGGUCCAGUACCUUCUAGCAUUAAAAAAAA
rnacentral:sRNA from 1 species